rnacentral:rRNA from 1 species
CGUUAAUCGGAGUUACUGGGCGUAAAGGGCGCSYWKGMGGUUGAAUAAGUGAGAUGUAAAAUCCCUGGGCUUAACCUAGGCAGGUCAUCUUAAACUGUUCGACUGGAGUAUUGUAGAGGGUAGUGGAAUUUCCGGUGUAGCGGUGAAAUGCGUAGAGAUCGGAAGGAACACCAGUGGCGAAGGCGGCUACCUGGACAAAUACUGACGCUGAGGCGCGAAAGCGUGGGGAUCAAACAGGAUUAGAUACCCUGGUAGUCCACGCUGUAAACGAUGAGAACUAGAUGUUGGUAGGCAUGACCUAUUAGUAUCGAAGCUAACGCGAUAAGUUCUCCGCCUGGGGAGUACGACCGCAAGGUUA